GACGAACGCUGGCGGCGUGCCUAAUACAUGCAAGUAGAACGCUGAAGGAGGAGCUUGCUCUUCUGGAUGAGUUGCGAACGGGUGAGUAACGCGUAGGUAACCUGCCUGGUAGCGGGGGAUAACUAUUGGAAACGAUAGCUAAUACCGCAUAACAGUAGAUGUUGCAUGACAUUUACUUAAAAGGUGCAAUUGCAUCACUACCAGAUGGACCUGCGUUGUAUUAGCUAGUUGGUGGGGUAACGGCUCAACAAGGCGACGAUACAUAGCCGACCUGAGAGGGGGAUCGGCCAAACUGGGACUGAGACACGGCCCAGAAUCCUACGGGAGGCAGCAGUAGGGAAUCUUCGGCAAUGGGCGGAAGUCUGACCGAGCAACGCCGCGUGAGUGAAGAAGGUUUUCGGAUCGUAAAGCUCCGUUGUAAGAGAAGAACGAGUGUGAGAGUGGAAAGUUCACACUGUGACGGUAUCUUACCAGAAAGGGACGGCUAACUACGUG
rnacentral:rRNA from 1 species